UUUAAUGAGAGUUUGAUCCUGGCUCAGGACGAACGCUGGCGGCGUGCCUAAUACAUGCAAGUAGAACGCUGAGGUUUGGUGUUUACACUAGACUGAUGAGUUGCGAACGGGUGAGUAACGCGUAGGUAACCUGCCUCAUAGCGGGGGAUAACUAUUGGAAACGAUAGCUAAUAC
rnacentral:rRNA from 1 species